CUUGGCGUUGGAUGAAGCUCUCAGUCACUGCCAGCUCCCUCCCCCUCCUCUCUCCUCUGAAGUGAAGAGUGUAGGCUUGAGCAAGGCACAGUUGAUGAAAUUGAUUGUGGCAAGAUCAUGUGAGAAGAGGAACACAUUCUUUACUACUGAAAGAUGCACAUAAAAGAUUGCCAGCUUUGAGCAGUACCCAUUGACACCACCCUUGACUUAACACAUUUGUCAAGAUGGCUCCAGCGGGAGCUGGUGAGACAUAGCCACUGAAGAGGGAC